CUCUGCUUAUAUGUAUGUGAUUAAAGGGAGAAUGAAAAGAUAAAUGAAGAAAGAUUCCUUAACAACAAAGCACGUACAAAAGGGCUUCUGCUUAAAGCAGUUUACUAAUCCAAUCACCAUUCAUUCUCAAAAUGGUUGGAAAAGGAAGGUAAUCCAAUCACCAUUCAUUCUCAAAAUGGUUGGAAAAGGAAGGAUGGUUUUGCACCCAGCAGUAUAAAUUGUCGAUGCACUGGACAACAGUAUGGACACCAAUUUCGAAUGUCUGGGCAACACAGUCACAGGAAUGCACGCUUUCCAUUGGUUAAAAUAUCUACAAAGAGGAAAGUGAACUGCAGCCACCC
rnacentral:lncRNA from 1 species